GAGCACGUAGGUGGGUUUGUAAGUCAGAUGUGAAAGCCUUCUGUUCAACGGAAGAAUUGCAUCCGAAACUGCGAGUCUUGAGUGUAGGAGGGGAGAAUGGAACUUCUGGUGGAGCGGUGAAAUGCGUAGAUAUCAGAAGGAACGCCGGCGGCGAAAGCGAUUCUCCGGCCUAUUACUGACACUCAGUGUGCGAAAGCUAGGGGAGCAAACGGGAUUAGAUACCCCGGUAGUCCUAGCCGUAAACGAUGGGCACUAAGUAGAGGGGUUUU
rnacentral:rRNA from 1 species